GUGCUCGCUUCGGCAGCACAUAUACUAAAACCGGAUACAGAGAAGAUUAGCAUGGCCCGUGCGCAAGGAUGACAUGCAAAUUCGUGAAGUGUUCCAUAUUUUU